GUUGACAAGAGAAGCUUUACAAGCCCUUGAAGACUGCAGUGCGAAGAUAGCGAGCGAACCAGGCAGCUAGUGAAGAGAAGUGAGUUAGUAGCAGUCACCGGCGGCGGAUAGACAUGACCGGAGAAGAGAUUUCCGGCCCCGCCGGCCCCAAGCUCCUCCGUCUUGUUUCCUUCGUCGGCGCCGCAGUGAUCUGCACCGCCGCAAUCAACAAGUAUCGCGAAUACGAGAGGAACACCAUCAUCAAGCAACAGCAACAGCAAGUGGUAGAGACACAUAAUUCGUCGGAAUCUGUUGCCGUUCCCAAAACUCUCAAAUGAAAAGAAUCAGUGGAAGGGACUCAUAGGAAUUUACAAAUUUGAGUUCAAAAUGACAUUCUGACUUCUGAUGCAAAAUCCUUAUGUUGUAUAUAAAUAUUGGGUUCAUUUUCAAUUGUAUUGCAUAACAAUGCCAACAAUCCCAUUACUCAGAAACUUAUGAGAGAAAAUAGUUAGCUAGUCUAGAUCUUUUAUUGAUGUCUCUAGUGAAAGAGGAUCAAUACAAGAGGACUAUGGCGCUAUAUUUACAGUAUGUUACCGAGCUGAGCCUACCGGAUUACUAAUCUAAUAUGGAAGGGACUCAUAGCAAUUAUAAAUGAAUUGACUUCUUGGUUUUGACAUUACUUAGUGACUGUUGAGAAACCUGUAUCUCCAGCACUACACAACUGUCUAGUCUGAUAAACAAGUAUCUAGUGUUUUUUUGCCUUACAGCAAUAAGGCAGACAUCCUCAAUGCCUACAUAUCCAAGUAGUAAUAGACAAAAAAAGAGGCCAAGGUACAAAUAAUUGGCCUGGUACAUGCAUUUGUAAGGAUUUAUCUUCUAUAAGUACAUAUGCACCUUGUUAGUAUGGGAAUGCAUUUGUAAGAAUUCAUAUUCAUAUAAUAUAGGUACAGUAGUUGGUCUCAAUAUCUCACACCCGUGGACCUCCCACUGUAGUUAUCUGGAUGAAAUGUAACUGGACAAGCUUUCCAAGAAACUGUUUGAAACACAUUUCUUUAAGUAUGCGACUGAUUAGAUGUCCA